rnacentral:rRNA from 1 species
ACAACCGUAACCACAUAUUAAAACAUUUUACCACCCAAGUAUAGGUGAUAGAAAAGGUUUCCAGAGCAAUAGAAAAAGUACCGCAAGGGAAAGCUGAAAAAGAAAUGAAAUAAUCCAACAAAGCGGAAAAAAGCAGAGACUAAAACUCGUACCUUUUGCAUCAUGAUCUAGCAAGAAAGCCCAAGCAAAGAGAACUUAAGUUUGACCCCCCGAAACCAGGGGAGCUACUCCGAAGCAGCCCAAAGGGGCAAACCCGUCUCUGUGGCAAAAGAGUGGAGAGACUUCCGAGUAGAGGUGAUAAGCCUACCGAACCUGGUGAUAGCUGGUUGCUCAGAAACUGAAUAUAAGUUCAGCGCUAUAAUAUUCUAACCUUAUUCACAAAAAGAACAAGCAAGAUAUAGCAGUUAAUCAAAAGGGGUACAGCCCUUUUGAUAAAGGAUACAACCUUACUAAGGAGGAAAAGGACAAUUAUCGCAAGGUACUUCCCCCAGUGGGCCUAAAAGCAGCCACCUG